rnacentral:rRNA from 1 species
CCUACGGGAGGCAGCAGUGAGGAAUAUUGGUCAAUGGCCGGAAGGCUGAACCAGCCAUGCCGCGUGAAGGUCAGUGCCCUAUGGGCGUUAAACUUCUUUUGUGCGGGAGCAAUAAUGGUCACGUGUGGCCAGACGAGAGUACCGUACGAAUAAGCAUCGGCUAACUCCGUGCCAGCAGCCGCGGUAAUACGGGGGAUGCAAGCGUUUUCCGGAUUUAUUGGGUUUAAAGGGUGCGUAGGCUGGGAGGUAAGUCAGCGGUGAAAUGCCCCCGCGCAACGGGGUGAAGUGCCAUUGAUACUGCCUGGCUGGAAUGCGGAUGCCGUGGGAGGAAUGUGUGGUGUAGCGGUGAAAUGCAUAGAUAUCACACAGAACACCGAUUGCGAAGGCAUCUCACGAAUCCGCGAUUGACGCUGAUGCACGAAAGCGUGGGUAUCAAACAGGAUUAGAUACCCGUGUAGUC